rnacentral:rRNA from 1 species
UACGGAGGGUGCGAGCGUUGUCCGGAAUCACUGGGCGGAAAGGGCGCGUAGGCGGCUCAUGAAGGCUGUGGUGAAAGUCCGGGGCUCAACCUCGGAUCGGCCGUGGCGACUCGUGGGCUGGAGCACUGUAGAGGCGGGUGGAAUUCCGGGUGUAGCGGUGGAAUGCGUAGAGAUCCGGAAGAACACCAGUGGCGAAGGCGGCCCGCUGGGCAGUGGCUGACGCUGAAGCGCGACAGCGUGGGGAGCAAACAGG